rnacentral:rRNA from 1 species
UGGGGAAUAUUGGACAAUGGACCAAAAGUCUGAUCCAGCAAUUCUGUGUGCACGAUGACGUUUUUCGGAAUGUAAAGUGCUUUCAGUUGGGAAGAAAAAAAUGACGGUACCAACAGAAGAAGUGACGGCUAAAUACGUGCCAGCAGCCGCGGUAAUACGUAUGUCACAAGCGUUAUCCGGAUUUAUUGGGCGUAAAGCGCGUCUAGGUGGUUAUGUAAGUCUGAUGUGAAAAUGCAGGGCUCAACUCUGUAUUGCGUUGGAAACUGCAUGACUAGAGUACUGGAGAGGUAAGCGGAACUACAAGUGUAGAGGUGAAAUUCGUAGAUAUUUGUAGGAAUGCCGAUGGGGAAGCCAGCUUACUGGACAGAUACUGACGCUAAAGCGCGAAAGCGUGGGUAGCAAACAGGAUUAGAUACCCUGGUAGUCCACGCCGUAAACGAUGGUUACUAGGUGUUGGGGGUCGAACCUCAGCGCCCAAGCUAACGCGAUAAGUAAUCCGCCUGGGGAGUACGUACGCAAGUAUG